UGGGGAAUAUUGCACAAUGGGCGCAAGCCUGAUGCAGCCAUGCCGCGUGUAUGAAGAAGGCCUUCGGGUUGUAAAGUACUUUCAGCGGGGAGGAAGGGAGUAAAGUUAAUACCUUUGCUCAUUGACGUUACCCGCAGAAGAAGCACCGGCUAACUCCGUGCCAGCAGCCACGGUAAUACGGAGGGUGCAAGCGUUAAUCGGAAUUACUGGGCGUAAAGCGCACGCAGGCGGUUUGUUAAGUCAGAUGUGAAAUCCCCGGGCUCAACCUGGGAACUGCAUCUGAUACUGGCAAGCUUGAGUCUCGUAGAGGGGGGUAGAAUUCCAGGUGUAGCGGUGAAAUGCGUAGAGAUCUGGAGGAAUACCGGUGGCGAAGGCGGCCCCCUGGACGAAGACUGACGCUCAGGUGCGAAAGCGUGGGGAGCAAACAGG
rnacentral:rRNA from 1 species